rnacentral:rRNA from 1 species
GCCAGACUCCUACGGGAGGCAGCAGUCGGGAAUAUUGCGCAAUGGAGGAAACUCUGACGCAGUGACGCCGCGUGCAGGAAGAAGGUUUUCGGAUUGUAAACUGCUUUAGACAGGGAAGAUACAAGACAGUACCUGUAAAAUAAGCUCCGGCUAACUACGUGCCAGCAGCCGCGGUAAUACGUAGGGAGCAAGCGUUAUCCGGAUUUACUGGGUGUAAAGGGAGCGUAGACGGCAUGGCAAGUCUGAAGUGAAAGCCCGGGGCUCAACCGCGGGACUGCCUUGGAAACUGUUAAGCUGGAGUGCAGGAGAGGUAAGUGGAAUUCCUAGUGUAGCGGUGAAAUGCGUAGAUAUUAGGAGGAACACCAGUGGCGAAGGCGGCUUACUGGACUGUAACUGACGUUGAGGCUCGAAAGCGUGGGGAGCAAACAGGAUUAGAUACCCGAGUAAA